rnacentral:rRNA from 1 species
UGGUGGAGUGAUUUGUCUGGUUAAUUCCGUUAACGAACGAGACCUCGACCUGCUAAAUAGUGAACAGAAUCCCUGGAUUCUCGUUUGCUUCUUAGAGGGACUAUCGGUUGGUGUACCCGGUGGAAGUUCGAGGCAAUAACA